rnacentral:rRNA from 1 species
ACGAACUGUGCAAACGUUAUUCGGAAUCACUGGGCUUAAAGGGUGCGUAGGCGGGUUGGUAGGUCAGAUGUGAAAGCCCACGGCUCAACCGUGGAAUUGCGUUUGAAACCACUAGUCUUGAGGGGAUCAGAGGAGAGCGGAACUGAUGGUGGAGCGGUGAAAUGCGUUGAUAUCAUCAGGAACACCGGUGGCGAAAGCGGCUCUCUGGGAUCUUUCUGACGCUGAGGCACGAAAGCUAGGGGAGCGAACGGG